GGGCCUAUAGCUCAGCUGGUUUAGAGCGCACGCCUGAUAAGCGUGAGUUCGAUGGUUCGAGUCCAUUUAGGCCCA
rnacentral:tRNA from 1 species